rnacentral:misc_RNA from 1 species
GAUGAAGAACGCAGCGAAAUGCGAUAAGUAAUGUGAAUUGCAGAAUUCAGUGAAUCAUCGAAUCUUUGAACGCACAUUGCGCCCGCCAGUAUUCUGGCGGGCAUGCCUGUUCGAGCGUCAUUUCAACCAUCAAGCCCCCGGCUUGUGUUGGGGACCUGCGGCUGCCGCAGGCCCUGAAAACCAGUGGCGGGCUCGCUAGUCACUCCGAGCGUAGUAAUACAUCUCGCUCAGGGCGUGCUGCGGGUUCCGGCCGUUAAAAAGCCUUAUUUACCCAAGGUUGACCUCGGAUCAGGUAGGAAGACCAGCUGAACUUAAGCAUAUCAAUAAGCGGAGGA